AGAUCUAGCAAGGUUCGCGCUCUGCGCUCACAAGAUACAUGAAGCGUGGGAGCGAGAAACUAUAAUCAAGUACAAACCGUGCGAGAGAAAAAGAGACAGCGAAUGAAGUACCAAUACGUCAUUGUUUUCGCGAGUAAGAGGCCAUAGCGUCCCGGUGAGUUGCACGCGGUAGUGAGAUUUGUGCAUUUUUAUGGUGAUUCUUAAUUAAAACAAGCUAAUAUUACGUUAUACAAUUAUGGUAUCGUGCUCUGUACCUGGAUGUAACGUUACAAGACGAAAUAAUCCGAAUCAACACACUUUUCACAGGUUUCCUCGCAAUUCUGCUUUAAUGGAAAAAUGGAUGCGUACUAUAAAUAGACCAGAUUGGACUCCUAGUACGAACUCCACUAUCUGUAGCAAACAUUUCGACAGCAAAUGUUUUAUACAAAGAAAACAUCGCCGUGUAUUAAUGAAAGACUCGAUACCUACAUUAUUUGUUCCUGUUAAACUGCCACGAAGGAGACCGGUAUCUUCGUAUGUCAACAGAGACAUUACUCUUUCGCCGAAGCAAGUCACUUCAUCCCAGCUUGCUGAAUCAACGCCUGGACCCUCAAACCUAGUCCUCACUCCAAGGAAAAAGAAAUUGAUGGACCGUAAUACACGGCUAAACGAAAAAUUUUAGAAAAAAAUAGGGUAUUAAGAAAUUUAAAGGAAAAAAAUAAAAGAAUGACAAAAAGAAUUCUUACUUUACAAGAGGUUGUUAAAGAAUUGAAUAACAGACCAGGGCUUGAAAAUCAUCGUAAUGAUGUGGAAGUCGCGUGCCGCAACAAUUUAUUGCAAAAAUUGGUAAAUAGGGUAAAUGGAAGAGCCACCGGAAAAAUCAGUCGCACGUCUGAGUAUGACGAAGAACUUAAGAAAUUGGCUUUAACUAUACAUUUUUACAGUCCUAGGAGCUACGUUUAUAUUAGAGAUAAAUUCGAUCUAUGUUUACCACAUGUUAAUACCUUGCAAAAGUGGUAUUCUCGUUUAAAUUGCGAGCCAGGUUUUACUCAAGAAUCGUUCAACACGAUUACGGAAAUUGCUAAAAAGAAACCGAUUUAUGUAAACUUAACUUUUGACGAAAUCAAAAUAAGAGAAGAAACAGAAUUUUUAGGUAAAAAACACUAUGAUACGUAAAUGUAGGAAACGAUUUGGGAGGCGACGAGAUAGAGAUUGCCAAGGAAGUACUGGUUUUUAUGGUAGUCGCAGUAAAUGGCUACUGGAAAUUGCCUGUCGGUUUUUUUCCGGCUAAAAGCUUUGCAGCUACUGAAAAAUCAAGACUAUUAAAAUAUGUCUUGAUUUAUUAAAAGAAACAAAUUGUGUCGUGGUUGGAAUAACAUUUGACGGCAUCGCAUCUAAUCUUACUAUGGCUCAAACACUUGGUGCGUCUAUACUUAAACCACCUUAUAAACCAUACUUUAUGUACAAUGGUAGAAAGUACAAUAUUUUGUUUGAUCCAUGUCACUUAAUCAAACUUAUAAGAAAUUGUUUCGCCGACCAUAAAAUAUUUUACGAUAGUAUGGGACGUAAAAUUGACUUUACAUUUGUGGAAAAUUUGCAUUAUUUACAAAAAAGUGAAGGUUUACAUCUCGCGAACAAACUUUCAGCGCGAUACAUUGAUUUUCGAACUCAGAAGAUGAAGGUAAGGCUAGCUUCCCAAUUGCUAAGCAGAUCAGUGGGUGUCGCCAUUGAUGUUUGUAACAAGGAUCUUUGUAUUGAUAAAUUUAGGAAUUCUGAGGCAACAGUGCAGUUUCUUCUCCAUGUAAAUGAUAUUUUUGAUAUAUUCAAUUCAAAAAAUUUAAACAACUACGGGUUCAAAAAGCCUCUUUGUCCGGGUAACAAAGUGGAUGUCUUUAGCAAAAUAGAUGAAGUUUACGAGUAUUUUCAAUCCCUUAAAUAUGAAGAUGUUAGAUAUGUAAUAGAUACGUAGAGACGUCUCGGUUUUUUAGCGUUUAUAUUGAACAUUAUUUCACUGAAAUGGAUGUAUGUAAGUUAUAUUGAAAAAAAAGACCACUUAAAAUUCCUUCCUGUAUAUAAAUUGUCGCAAGACCACCUGGGAACAUUUUUCAGCGCCAUCAGAUCGAAAGGGGGAUUCAAUAAUAACCCCACUGUAAAAAACUUCAUUUCUGCGUAUAAAAAAUUAUUAUGCCAUACAGAAAUAAAAAUAAGCGAGAGUGGCAACUGCUUAGAAUUAGAAAAAAUCACAGUAUUGUCUACUAGCGCCAUUUCCACAAUUGAUAAAAUUAAUAGUUCAUCAAAUUAUAA